GCCUGACUGGCUUAGUCCUAAAAGCACGUGACUCUUGAUCUUGUGGUCAUGAGUUUGAGCCCCACGUUGGGUA
rnacentral:tRNA from 1 species